rnacentral:rRNA from 1 species
AUUGAACGCUGGCGGCAGGCCUAACACAUGCAAGUCGAACGGUAACAGGAAGAAGCUUGCUUCUUUGCUGACGAGUGGCGGACGGGUGAGUAAUGUCUGGGAAACUGCCUGAUGGAGGGGGAUAACUACUGGAAACGGUAGCUAAUACCGCAUAACGUCGCAAGACCAAAGAGGGGGACCUUCGGGCCUCUUGCCAUCGGAUGUGCCCAGAUGGGAUUAGCUAGUAGGUGGGGUAACGGCUCACCUAGGCGACGAUCCCUAGCUGGUCUGUGAGGAUGACCAGCCACACUGGAACUGAGACACGGUCCAGACUCCUACGGGAGGCAGCAGUGGGGAAUAUUGCACAAUGGGCGCAAGCCUGAUGCAGCCAUGCCGCGUGUAUGAAGAAGGCCUUCGGGUUGUAAAGUACUUUCAGCGGGGAGGAAGGGAGUAAAGUUAAUACCUUUGCUCAUUGACGUUACCCGCAGAAGAAGCACCGGCUAACUCCGU